UCUGAUUUGAUGUAGUCAGUUGAUUUCGGUAUUGGUCUUAAUGAUGACCAGCUCGAUACAUUUCUAACUGGAAUGCUUUAGAUUAGGCCUACCUUAUGUGUCCUUAACAGUUGGAGGUUUACAUCUACAAAAAAAAUGCGCUGAUGUCCAAUAGGUUAAAAAUAAUAGAGUAUGGAAAAAGUAUGGAAUUUUGAAAUGACAAAUGUGUAGGAAACCUGGAAAUAGUAGGUGCAAAAUAUUAAUUUAUAGUGAGGUGUGUCUCAUUAGUACCACAUUGCAGAACAGGUCUGCAUUGGUCUGGGGUGUUUGGGUCCCAUAACUUGGACGCUAUUGAGCAAAAUCUGUUUUCCAUAGGAAAUGAAUGGGAUUCUUAAAAGAAAUCAU